GCGGCCGCAGCUGAGCGCGCCGGGGCGAGGCGGACGAAAGCGUAGCAAUUUCUCAGGGACAGCGACCCGCGUGGCUGCGGGGCGGCUCCGAGACCCUGAGCCCAACACAAAUGAGUGGACAGUACCCGGAGAUGAAACAGAUUUCCUAUUCCGCACAUUUACAAAUUCCGUUUGCACCCUCAUUUGGGAUAAUGCUGUGGCAUUCCAAGGACAAUUUCUCUUUGUGAAGGAAUCAGGCAGUGCUGUGGAAUUACAUCAGAUGUAGCCUUGAUUAAUUAUUGUCAACACAACAUAUGCAAACUCUUUUGGCCUGUCAACUCUCAUCUCUUACAUCAAGGAAACUGAAUCAUGUACCUUGGCCUAAAAAAAUUAGCAGAGCUUGUAUAAAUAUAUUUUGAUAGUGUCCUUGAGAUUCCUGAAGACACAAAGAAGCAGAAACAGGGCACUAGAACAACUGCUCAGGCCAAAAGCAGCAGAGAAUACUGACCAGUCUAACAGUGAGUGCUUCCUUUUGAGCUUCAGGUCUCCACCAACGCAGUGGAAACACAAUUUCUCCGUGGCCUAGAAGCAGCAAAAGGUUGAAAAAGGGUUGGAAAAUCGGUGAAAUCGAGCGGCCACUAGACUGAGGACAGACGCACGAACAGGAGCGUGCAGAAAUGUCUCCCUUUGAAAAUAAAGGACUAAUACUGGGCAUAAUGGCAGGGACUGCUGGAUUAAGCCUGGUGCUGGUUUGGUACCGCAAGAUCCGAAAGCCUGGUGCAGCUGUGCGUAUACAUGCGUUCCAGGAUAUAGGUAACAAAAUUAAUUCUGUGGGCUUGCAAAAUGAGGCUCCCAAUGAACAAGGAGCAGUAAUGGUUUUACAUGGAAGGCAACUGCAGAUACUAGAAAAAUUGAAUGGCCUGCUACUAAGUGUGGAUGAACUGAAGAGAGAGGUGGAAUUUCUGAAAGAAGCUAUUCCAAAACUUGAAGAGCUUGUUCGAAAUGAGCUUCAAGGAAAGGGUGAUAUUCAGAGAGUUAGCCCAUCACACAGAGCAGCUAGGCGACGAAAAGCAGAGACAGCUUCUGGUGCAAGAGAAACCACCAGCUCUGAGGAGGCGGAAAGUGAAGGAGGUUACCUUACUGCUCAUACUGAUUCUGAAGGAGACUCCGAGGAAGAAAAGAAAUGUAUGAAAUCACCUGAUACCACAGUGAAAUCAGAAGAAGAUGAAGACUUACUUAAUUUUUUACAGCAGGUGGACAAUUUGCAUAAGGGUUCAGAGGAUGAUAAAAAAAAAGGCUUCAGAUUGCUGCUUGAGAAAGAUGACAAGUAUGAAAACUGUGUGGACUUUCUUUGGAGGCUUGCACGUGCUUAUGGAGAUCUGUUUGAGAUGACUACUGAUGCUGAGGAGAAGAGGAAAUAUGUAACUGAUGGAAAGCUUAAAGCUGAAAAGGCUGUUCAGCUGGAUCCUGGGAGUGCUGAGAGUCACCAGUGGUUUGCAAUUAUGUGUGGCUAUAUGUCUCAGUUUGAAAGUGUACAAAACAAAAUCAGGAAUGGUUAUCUCUUUAAGGAGCACCUAGACAAGGCAAUUGAACUUAAGCCUCAAGAUCCCCUUCUAUAUUACCUAAAUGGAAGAUGGUGCUAUUCAGUAUCUCAGUUGUCUUGGAUUGAAAAGAAAGUAGCUGCUGCUCUCUUUGGGACUCCACCAACUUCAACAGUAGAAGAAGCACUGCAGAAUUUCCUUAAGGCAGAAGAAAUGCAUCCAGGAUAUUCCAAAUGCAAUUAUGUGUAUUUGGCAAAGUGCUAUAAAGAUCUUGGCCAGAAAAACAAUGCACUGAAGUACUGUGAUUCUGCACUGUCAAUUCUCUCAGUUACUAAUGAGUGAAACAACCAAUUUUUGCAUCUAACAGCACUGUUUUAAUGGCACCCCCUUUAUUCACUGGUUUUAACCUAAAGAGGUGAAAUUCAUUGUGCUAUAAGACUUUUAAGUGGGAAACCUGAUCUCUACUACCCAACUGGGUGUGUUUGGCUGUUCCUCAAAUUAAAACAAGACUCGGAAGAUUAAAGUGGAGCUUGGCUCAAGAUCAGGAGCCAAGGUCAGCCCCAAGCUCCAGCAAGACAGUGUUAAGAAGAAGAAGAAGUAAAGAAGAGGAGGAUUGUGGUCCAGAAGAUGGACUUUGUACAGAAUUUGUUCCAUUACCCAAUAGAAAAUGGUAAGGGAGCUUCUUGCUUUUCUGCAGCCAAAAAAGUCACAAGGUGAGCAACCUCCCACUCUGCCCCUCCUAAGUCAGAGAUCUGUGUAGCAAUAGCUCAGAUAUGGUUUUGUGCCAUAACCUGCCAGAAUGGUUCCCCUGGAGUUGAGACCUCCAUGUUUAUUGAUCUUUUCUGCUUGCAGUCUGUUCUUAAGCUGUUGCAGCAGCCAAUGCCAAGACGUCAGGACACCUAGGCUUAUGUGAGGUGGCAUUCAGCUUGGCAAGUUAGGUUCAACUAUCACUGAACUGCAGUUGGCAAUUCAACAUUCACAGUCUGGCCAUGAAUCUUCAUAAAUAUGUAAUUAUGUUCCAGCCUCUCUGAAUUACAGAAACUACACCCAGUCACCACAUCUAAACAUGAAGUUAUGGAUUUCAAAUCCUAAUUCUGACUAUUUUAGAAAACAAACAGAACUCUUGCCCUUUGUUGUAGAUCAGGUCUCAAAUAUAUCUAUCCACAGCAAUUCAGUGCUCAAACAUACAUUUUAUAAACAAAAUACUUUUAUUAGACUAGUGUAUGGGUUAUUUUUAAAUCAAGGAUUAGAAUACAGUUGGUAUUAAAUUUAUUAUUAUUGAUAUUAAACUUAUUAUGAUUGCUUCACUUCAUUUCACUAAAGUCAAAGUUACUGUACAUUAACCUCAGGAGAUAAUAUUUAUCUGGGAAAAAAAGGUCUUAAAAAAUAUAGAUGGAAUUUCUUUUUCCUCUUUUUAUUUCGCAUGUUUUGACAAUACAGUUUAAACUAGAUAACUUAGUUAAUAGAGCAUAACACUAAGCAAAACCAGAACUUAAUGAGAACUGUUAAUACACUGUUUAAUUGAUUUGUUCCUGCUUCUGGUGUAAAAAUUAUCCCAUCAUUACAUUUUUAUUUCCAAUUUACUAGAUGCAAUUAUUUUGCAUUAUCCUUUGUGCAAGAGCUCCAUCCAAGAAAAACAUCUUGAAUACUUAGAGAUACUUAGAGAUAAUCCAGUUUAUUGGGUAACUGCUUCAAAGAAUGGCACUAGAUAGAGAAAAAGUCUUCUACUGCUUCUUCUUGAUUUAUGGAAGCAUCAUAAUAGUGUUUCCCUCUCUGGACACCAGUAGCCACAUCCAGCCUGGUACAGUACUCAGAAAAAAUAUACUUGGGUGUGGCCUCCACACACCACACUGUUACCUGAGUGCGCAGUUACUGUGGUUUUUCAGAGUCGGAGAUGAAAAGAAAUGGCUGGCCAUGUGCAAAACAAAGAGCAGUCUCUUCUAAAACAAGAGACCCUUUCUACAAUAAGCAGGCUCAGCAUGCCACUUCAGAAUGAUGCAGUGGCAAGAGAUUAUGAGCCUCAACUUAGAUUAAAAAAUGGUAACCGGUGUAAUAUAUAUAUGUAUAUUCUUCAAGCCCACAGAGAGACUUGUGAAUUAUUACUAUUUGUUAUUUUAAAUAUCAGCUGUAUCAGAAACCUCAUUCUGAAUUAAGUUUGGCUAUCCUGCUGCUGUGCAAACAAGGCAGAGUCAGUUACCCUGUAGCUCCUUCAGGAAGCUGUUGUAAGCAAAGUAGUUACUUUUGUAUCCGAUGGUAUGGUUAGAUCACUUCGGGGAUCCCUCUAAUCUUUUGGAUACAUUUCUAUUUUUACACAGUAUCCCUGACAGGCUUAAUGAGCUUUAUCAUUCUUGUCUCAAUCACAGGCUAUAAGAAACAUUAUUAGCAAUGCUUUGAUCAUCAGUUAAACCAGUGUCUGUUUCCACACUCUUCAAAUGCAAAUAAAAUCUUAACUUAAACCUCUUCCUUCAGAAGGUGUGACAAGUCAGUCCCACUGGCUCAUGUUACUAACUGCUGUAAUUGGAUUGUUUUCAGUAUAUGCCUAUUUCCUCAAAGGAACAGGUGGGGUCUGUCUCUGUACUCUUCCUUGACCUGAUGUCUCAACAGUCUUGGCCAGGUAAGACAAGGAAUGUGGACUGCUUUACCUUUUCUACUGGACAAUUGGGAAGGGGGUUUCAAAUUUUCCCCCCCUCCUCAAAGUAGGAGCAACAUAUUUUGAUCCAACCUAAACUCCUUGCCAAAUAUUUAACCCAGAUCAGUAACAGCCUCCUCUAAACUGACUCUGUCGUCCUAUGCAAGAGUUAACUGCAUUAACUUAGUUCUUUUGUUUAAUUUGACAUGAAUGUUUCUUAUAUAUAGAAUUUCUUCUACGCACCCAUUUCAUAGUAUGUUUCUGUACUUCCUAUUGCUGCCCACAUGCCAGACAGUCUUCUGCCAGUAGUCUAAUACCCCUGUUCUCAAAAGAUCUGUCAUGGAAUUAUUCUAAAAUAUAAAAUUUGAUUUUUCAUAUAUGGUCUGAUACUCAUCCCAGUGAAUAUAUAUAGCAAAUAGGGUUGAAAACCAGACAUGCCAACAAGUGUUUACAUUUCCAUUUAAUAUGAGAAUACUUCCUCAUUAUAUAAUAAGAAUAUGAGGCACAGAAAAAAAUAAAUUAAUGUAAUGAUCUGGGAAAGAGAAACCUUACUGUUUUAGAGAGUCAUCUCCUACAUGUAGUGGAAAUAUCACAUAUACCUUAUAAAGUUGUAUACAGUACUGCAAUACAUAUGACACAAUUUUCCAGUUUCCUGGAAGAGAAUAAUGAGAGCCAUUUACAGACAACUAGCUUGUAUUUUCUCCAGAAUAAAUCACAUUCAUUACACGUGCACACUGGAGUAAGGAGGGAUUAUAUAGCAGUGCCAUUAAAACAGUCCAAAAAGCCACUGAUCCUACAGCUGAAUCUGAGUAGUCAUACACCUGAGCAAGACCAAGAACAAUUUCUCCAAAAAGUGUGAUCAAAAUUCACUGAAAAAAAUCAGACAGAACAAUGAUAUUAGCUCAUGUAGAGUCUGACAGUACAGUAACACCAUUGAAAAUAUCCCUGUUUUAUCCAUUUCAACAAAAAUCAUAAUCUGAAUUACAAGUAUUCUGCAUAUCUGCAUAAGCACCAAGAUAAUAUAAAGUAAAAGCUUAUUCAUCAAGUCCCUCUGAAAAAUGGUCCCCGAUAAAAAAGCAAAUUUUUGAUUUAAGUACUUUUGGCAA